GCACUGGGAGGGACUGGGAGCAACUGGUGGGGGUUGGGAGGGAAAUGGGAAGGGACUGGGAGCAACUGGUGGGCACUGGGAGGGACUGGGAGGGAGCUUGGGGGCACUGGGAGGGAGCUGGAAGGGACUGGGAGGCACUGGGAGGCACUGGGAGCAACUGGUGGGGGUUGGGAGGGAAAUGGGAAGGGACUGGGAGCAACUGGUGGGCACUGGGAGGGACUGGGAGGGAGCUUGGGGGCACUGGGAGGGAGCUGGAAGGGACUGGGGGGCACUGGGAGGAACUGGGAGGAACUGGGAGGGACUGGGAGGCACUGGGAGCAACUGGUGGGGGUUGGGAGGGAAAGGGGAAGGGACUGGGAGCAACUGGUGGGCACUGGGAGGGAGCUUGGGGGCACUGGGAGGGAGCUGGAAGGGACUGGUGGGCACUGGGAGGGACUGGGAGGGACUGGGAGGCACUGGGAGCAACUGGGAGCAACUGGUGGGGGUUGGGAGGGAAAUGGGAAGGGACUGGGAGCAACUGGUGGGCACUGGGAGGGACUGGGAGGGGGCUGGGAGGCAAACUGGGGGGACUGGGAGGGAGCUGGAAGGGACUGGGGGGCACUGGGAGGGACUGGUGGGCACUGGGAGGCACUGGGAGGGAGCUGGAAGGGACUGGUGGGGGUUGGGAGGGAAAUGGGAAGGGACUGGGAGCAACUGGUGGGCACUGGGAGGGAGCUUGGGGGCACUGGGAGGGAGCUGGAAGGGACUGGGGGGCACUGGGGAGGAACUGGGAGGAACUGGAAGGGACUGGGAGGCACUGGGAGCAACUGGUGGGGGUUGGGAGGGAAAUGGGAAGGGACUGGGAGCAACUGGUGGGCACUGGGAGGGACUGGGAGGGGAGCUGGG
ensembl:lncRNA